rnacentral:lncRNA from 1 species
UCUAGGAUUAACUUUUAUUAAUUGAUUUGCAUUCAAGUGAUUAGGAUGAUUACAACUAAUUAUCCAGUCAACUCUUAAAAUUUUAAUAACAUCCCUCUCUUUGGGCAUGCUUGGAAAAUCUGUCCCUGAAUCAAUAUUACAAAAUAUCUACAUAAUUUUCACCACAGAACUUCUACAAAUAAUUAUUCAUUCCAUUUUGACUAUUACAGCUUAGCCUAAAGAAUUAAGUAAAUAUGUAUUACUUCACUCCUGCACACCCUUUAAACGCAGCUAACAGACACUGAAUAAACCGGCUCAUCCCCCGCGGGAUCAGGAGUUGCUUGCCCCGUAUGCUGUCGCCAGGCUGCAGCCGCCUGAGGGGACUCGUCCGGGGCCCCGCCCUCAGAGCUCACACCCGCCGUGCGCUCUCGCCCCGGGGCCGCCCCGCCGACCUCCCGCGCGGCUCUGCGCGCACAGGCCGGACGCUCGGAGCCGGCGCCGGGCCGCCCUGCUCGGCCUCCUGGGCGCAGCGGCGCCUCUGGACCGAGCACGCGCACCAGCGGCCUCCGCUCAGGCUCCGUGCCCGCGCACGCGCCCUCGCGUCGCGCUCCUGGCUGAGAGACCUGCGCUCGGGCUGGGCUCCGGGCGGUUCUCGCGUUGUCGUUCCACCGGGACUUCCGCGCUUCGGUGGCCUUUCGGACGAGCCGCCGCGCCCAGAGAUGUUCAGGUUGGAGCGACACUUCCCAGACGGCAGCGGUCACGCCAGCUCUUUGGCUUCCAUUCCGUUUUCGCGCGGUUCUCCCUCUUCGCAAGCUGCUUGGCUGCAAGAGGGAAGUAGGACAUUGAGCCCUAAAGGGAGAUUUCCAGCCAGGGGGCACCGAGUGAUGUCAUUCUGACUGCAGUCACCACUGUCGGGUUGUGAUUAAACUCUGAUGACCUAUGAGAGCACCGUGAUGUCAGUUUUUCUGGAAUUGGAAUAUUGAGUACUUCCUGACCCAGUUCUAUGUCUUUUCUAACCUGUUCAACCUCACCUGACCCCAAGGCCAUGAGGUAAGGUGUGGCUGGAUGGCGUGGCUCCUUUUCAGUCCUGGAAGGUGUGAAUGGAGGGAGGAGGACCUGUUCAGGGCAGCGCUGACCAGCCUAGCCUCACGUGCAGAGCUGCUUCCCCAAAGUGGAGGACAGGCCAGAAAACUGUCUGCUGAAUUGUUUGGGUUUCCUGGGGGUUAGGGAAAGAGUUUGGGUUUAUCUACAAUCCUUCUAAUCUUUUCAUAUUGUUGUGUUUGUUUGGUUAGCGGUAUUAUGCAAAAUGGAAUGGAGGAGCCAAAUGUUACUUCCUUUCAUGGUAACCCUGAAUUAUGCUUGCUCUCAUGGUCUCUUUUUCCUUACCCAGCUCUAGAUUCCCUUUGUUCUUUCCCAGUAGAGGAAUCCCAAGGAGGACUGAUCAGUUUUGGCAGGUGCAAAACCAUGGUGACUAGCAGUACUCCUUCAACAUGGCCAAGUGUCUCUGGGGCAAAAUCACCUCUGAUUGAGAACCAAUGGCAUGAUGUUUCAGAACUGAAAGCAUUCUGACAGAAUUCCAAUCAAGACCCCAUGUCUUACUUGUAAAUUUGCACGGAUCACUAAAUCUCUCUGAGCACCAUUUCUGCAAUAUAGGGUGGAGUUCAUAAACAUACUAUCUCAUAGAACAGACUUUUGUAAAAAUUAAAUAGGAAAGACCCUAUAAGGUG